rnacentral:rRNA from 1 species
GACAGAGGUGCCGAGCGUUAGGCGGAAUCACUGGGCUUAAAGCGUGUGUAGGCGGGUCGUUAAGUGCCUUGUGAAAUCCCACAGCUCACCUGUGGAACUGCUUGGCAUACUGGCGAUCUUGAGCCACUUAGGGGCAACCGGAACAAACGGUGGAGCGGUGAAAUGCGUAGAUAUCGUUUGGAACGCCAAUGGUGAAAACAGGUUGCUGGGAGUGUGGCUGA